rnacentral:lncRNA from 1 species
GGGUCAUGUAAGAAGAAUAUGUGAGCAAUUGUAUAAUAAUAGUUAUUAUUACUGUAUCUACUAAUGAUUUGUCACCCUGGCAAAUUGCUUUUGAUUAUUUUCAAUAUAUUAAUAUGUCUCCCAAAAUACAACUUCAAUGCAAAUAGAUUAAAAGCAAUUUUAUUUGUGACUAAGAUUGUAAUUCCUUAUUCUACUGCAUACUUUAUAUUAUUGAAAUUGAGAUAAUUGACUGCAUUAACCUCAAUAUCUAUCAUGUGUACAACUUAAUGGAACAUAGCUCUUAACAGUUCAUUGUGAAAAGCAUACGGAGAAGCUGUUCAACAGUCACAAAUUAAAUAGAAUUAGAUGCAUAUUUUUGGCAUGACUUCGAACAAUUAUACCUGACAUGUCUGCCAAUUAAUGUAAAUAAGUAUGUGUGUAAAAAUUAAAAAGGUUUUCUGUUCAUAAAACAGUUAAAAAUACUUAGUAUAUUAAUAAAAUAAAUCAAGCAUCCCUCUUCAGUGUUUAACAUCUGUCAGUGUAGAGAUGCCUUAAGGUUUGUCCGAUUCAUUUGUAUAUAAGAUUUAUUAUUGAUGCCAUCUUCUUGUAUUUCACCAUGAAAGAAUAUAGAAAGGGAACUAUUUGUCAGCACUGAGAUUACAAUUCAAGAAAACGAACUAAAAGAUAUCAUACGGAUCUUAUCGUUACCAAUAUAAACAAUAAGGAUGAACUGAAGCUUGGGAAUAUAUCUAUGGUGCUGAAAAUGUUUAUGGCACAUGAUGAUUUCCUGAGAAAGAGUUUAAAAGGAUGAGUAUUGAAAGAAGAUAUUUCCAAUUUAAGAGUGAUAGAAGAAAAGUUUAGCCAAAUUAUGCAUAUCAUGAAAAUCAAAAAAGUAAAAAUGGAUUACAAAAUAUUAUAUUUUGAAGGUGAUCUUUACCAAUUCAAACAAUAAUCUCUUCCAAAAACACCCUCCAAAACAUACUCAGAAAUAAUAUUUUGUCUGCUAUCUGGGCAUCUAUUAGCCUGGUUAAGUUGACAUAAAAUUAACCAUAACCAAUACUGUGAUUUUUACUAGGCUUUGACAUUUAAGAAACAGCCAUUUAUUCCAAAUAAGUUAAAUUAUACUAUUUCCACUAGGCUACAGUUACUAUACCAUUGUGGUAUUUAACUUUGGUUCUCCAUAUUGCAGACACAGAAAAUUAUAUCUUGAUAUUGACAACAGUUGCAUGAUCAUUUAUUGAUCUCAUACAAUAUGCAACACAGUAGCUCCCUUAUUUAUUUAUUUAUUUAUCAAUCAUCUGCUCUGCUAGGUUGUAAGACAGUUCAGAGCUAGAGGCAUGUGUAACUAAUCUGUGUAUCACCAGUUUAAAUAGGUAACUCAACACUGAUUUGAUAAAUUUGCAGAGAAUUUGAAUUAAUUGACUGAAAAAAAUCUUUUCAGUAUUCUUAAUAAUAAAAUUGAGAUACUAAGUGCCCUUUUCUUAUUACCUCAUAAAAAGAAUCAAAUAAAUGAAAGUGCUUUUAUUACACAAAGUAUAGUUUUUCCUAUAUAAUGUUAUGCAAACAUGUCAUUGAUUUAAUUUGUAAAGACUGAUAACAUUUUAUAAGAAAAUACGCACUUUUAAAACUGAAUGGUGCAUCGAUGUGUGUGUGUGUGUGUGUGUGUCUGUGUGUGUGUGUAUGGGCAUGCUGGGGGAUGACAAUAAGAGAAAUGUUUGAAGUUAUGGUUGUCAAACAGCCAAGCAGUGCUGAAUCAGCAGCGACUGCUAGAUCAGCUCUCCACGCUUUGAAACUUUUAACCAGGUAAAGCAACAAGCCCAAGUAGAAUUAUUAUCAGUACUUGUGUUACAACAGAACACCUGAACUUCAUUUUUGCAUCUGUUCCUUUUUCCUCCCAAAUUCCAUGAAAGCAAUGCAGAGAGAGCCCAUAUGAAGAAUGCUGUGCACAUAGAAGUCUAUGUCACAGCUGAGGAACCCUGAAGCUUAUGAAACACCCAACAGUAUAAAGAUGCUACUAGCCAACUGACACAAAUUUUAUCCCUGAGGGACCCAUUAUCAUUAUGAUACUACUCAGGAAACAAAUAUCCCGCUGACCUGGAGGAAGACACUAUGUUUAGUAACUAGAGUUAUUUGAUAUGAAAAGAUCUCUUAAUUUGAAAAGACAGCCUGGGAUAAAAGUUAUUCUAAGUCACAUAGAAGCACUAGGAGGAACUGCUUCACAGCAAUGGUAAGUAUAGGCUCAAAACAGUAGACUAAUAUGGCUUAUUUAUUACGCAUUAGUGAGCAUGCUUUAUCUAAUCUAAAGGAGUAGAAAACUGGAUAAUGAUUGAAAUUGCUGGUUAUAUCCAACAUAUCUACAUAAAAUGUGAAGACUGUUCUCUACAGUUGAUCCUUUUAAGAUAAUAGCAAGCAAACUGGUAAAGAACAAGUGUGACACCCAGGCAAGGGCGGCACAUAUUUUUUAAUUAAUAAACUUUAUUUUUAGAGAAGUUUUAGAUUUGAAGCAAAAACAAGAAAAAUGUAGAGUUCUCAUAUGCCUCCUCUCUCCACACCCACGCAACCUCCUCCCACCAGCAACAUCACUCAUCAAGUAGUACAUGUGUUACAAUCAAUGAACCUACAAUGAAUGCACCACUAUCACUUAAAGUCCAUAGUUUACAUUAGGGUUUCCUAUCGAUGUUGUACAUUCUAUGGGUUUCGACAAAUGUAUAAAGAAAAGUGUCAACCAAUGUGGUUUCAUGCAGUGUAGUUACACUGUCCUAAAAUAUUCUGUGCUCUAUUUAUCCCUCCCUUCUGUCCUACCCCUGGCAACCAACAAACUUUUUACCAUCUCCAUAGUUUUGGCUUUUCUAGAAUGUCCUAUAGUUGGAAUCAUACAGUAUGCUAUCUUAUCAGAUUGGUUUCUUUCAUUUUGUAAUACACAGUUGUUUCCUCUAUCUCUUUUCAUGGUUUGAUAGCUCUUUUCUUUUUAUGUCUGAAUAACAUUCAUUGUCUGGAAAAACCACAGUUUAUCUCUCCACCGACCUACUGAAAGACAUCUUGGUUGCUUCUAAGUUUGACAGUUUUGAAUAAAGCUGCUAUAUCUUCUCUGUGUAGAUUUGUGUGUGUGUGUGUGUGUGUGUGUGUGUGUGUGUAUGUAAGUUUUCAACUCAUUUAGGUAAAAAACUAGGAGGAUGAUUGCUGGGUCAUAUGAUAAGAAUCUAUUUUGUAAUGAACUGCCAAACUUUCAUCCAAAGUGGCUGGACCAGUUUGCAUUCCCACCAUCAAUGAAUAAGAAUCCUUGUUGCUCCACAUUCUCUUUGCCAGCAUUUCGUGUUGCCAGUGUUUUGGAAUAUUGCAUUCCACUCAGAAACUAUGUUUGGGGAGAAGUCCAUGGAAAGUGUGUGUGUGUGUGUAUCUUUGCACACUGUAAACCUUAAGCACUGCUUUAAAAGUCAUUUCAUGCCUGAGUAAUUUCUAUAUUUCAUUACAAAACUCCCUCUAGUUAUGCGAACUAGAGAAACUAAAAGUCAAUUUACAAUAAAUGCUGUUUCAUUGAAUCUGUUCUGCUUAUAUAGUUACCAUCAUAAGAGAAUGCUAACAUGCAAAAGACUUUUGUGUUGCUUACACUAUAGAAUAUUCUCUUCUUUCUGUCACAAGGCAAGACAAAUGCUAGAAAGAAUAUCUUCUGGUAACAGGGCACCUCUGAAUCCUCUAUCUUGGCUUCAUGGAACACCAUGUGCUACAGAAGGUGUCUUUCUGCCAUGGGAAGCACAAGUUUCCUUCCUCCUAUGGCAACACUCAAAAUAGCAAACAAAAUUAAUAAGCAAUGAAGCUAUAGAUGUCUGAAUGAUUUUAGAAAGCUCCAAUAUAAACUGGAAAAAAUGAAUUUCAUCAUGAAAAAAGUGAUGCUGUAUUUUUCAUCUAGAAUUAAACAAAUUUUUAUAAUUUUGAAAAACAAAAGUAAAAAAACAAUAAAAUGUACAGAUCUUAGGAAGGCUGGAGAUUGUAUGGCAAAGGGCAAAAUUCUGGACUUAUUUCCCAUGCUAAAUUCAGUCUAACCUUGAUGACUACUGCGAGCAAUAUCAAAAUGGAAAAAAAAAAUAAUUUUUUUUUUGAUGAAUUUUGUUGAACCUAAUGCCCAGCUGGUACAUUUUUAAAUCUCACUCAGAUUUAAAUUUAAUUUAAAUUUGAUAAUAUAUUUGGUCAGUGGAAAAUUUUUAUUUUUUAUUUACAUUUUAUUUAUUUAUGUAUUUAUGUAUUUAUUUUGCUUUUUAGGGCCUCACCCACAGCAUACGGAGGUUCCCAAGCUAGUGGUCCAAUCGGAGCUACAACUGCUGGCCUAUGCCACAGCAACGCAGGAUCCUCACCGCAUCUGUGACCUACACCACAGCUCACGGCAAUGACAGAUCUUUAACCCACUGAGCGAGGCCAAGGAUCGAACUCAUAACCUCAAGGUUCCUAGUGGGAUUUGUUUCUGCUGCGCCAUGACGGGGACUUCUGGUCAAUGGAAAAUUUAUUAUGGCUGUUCCUUCAUGCUAUAAUAACCUUUUAUUUGGGUAUUUUAUUUGUGUGUUAUUUUCACAUUAAAUAAUUCAUAUCCUUGAAAAUCGUCCAUAUUACAUCACUUUGGAUAUUAAUUAUUUUAACAAAUGUGUAUAAUACUGCUCAAACAAACAAUCAAACAAACAAACAAACAAAAAGAGUGGGUUAAGGAUCCGGCAUUGCCAUGAGCUGUGGUGCAAGUCGCAGAUGUGGCUCGGAUCCUGCGUUGCUGAGGCUCUGGCGUAGGCUACAGCUCCAAUGAGACCUCUAGCCUGGAAAUCUCCAUAUGCUGUGGGUGUGGCCCUAGAAAAGGCAAAAAAGACAAAAAAAAAAAAAAAAAAAAA